GUAACGGCUCACCAAGGCGACGAUGCGUAGCCGACCUGAGAGGGUGAUCGGCCACACUGGGACUGAGACACGGCCCAGACUCCUACGGGAGGCAGCAGUAGGGAAUCUUCCGCAAUGGACGAAAGUCUGACGGAGCAACGCCGCGUGAGUGAUGAAGGUUUUCGGAUCGUAAAACUCUGUUGUUAGGGAAGAACAAGUACCGUUCGAAUAGGGCGGUACCUUGACGGUACCUAACCAGAAAGCCACGGCUAACUACGUGCCAGCAGCCGCGGUAAUACGUAGGUGGCAAGCGUUGUCCGGAAUUAUUGGGCGUAAAGCGCGCGCAGGCGGUUUCUUAAGUCUGAUGUGAAAGCCCCCGGCUCAACCGGGGAGGGUCAUUGGAAACUGGGGAACUUGAGUGCAGAAGAGGAGAGUGGAAUUCCACGUGUAGCGGUGAAAUGCGUAGAGAUGUGGAGGAACACCAGUGGCGAAGGCGACUCUCUGGUCUGUAACUGACGCUGAGGCGCGAAAGCGUGGGGAGCGAACAGGAUUAGAUACCCUGGUAGUCCACGCCGUAAACGAUGAGUGCUAAGUGUUAGAGGGUUUCCGCCCUUUAGUGCUGCAGCAAACGCAUUAAGCACUCCGCCUGGGGAGUACGGUCGCAAGACUGAAACUCAAAUGAAUUGACGGA
rnacentral:rRNA from 2 species